UUUCGCAAUGCCCGAAAGGGUGACGAAGCGACGCCGCGUGGGUGAGGAAGGCCUUCGGGUUGUAAAGCCCUGUCAGGAGUUAAGAAAUGUAAUUGCGCUAAUAUCCCAUUUAUUUGACGAAGGCUCCAAAGGAAGUCACGGCUAACUCUGUGCCACCAGCCGCGGUAAUACAGAGGUGGCAAGCGUUGUUCGGAAUUAUUGGGCGUAGAGAGCACGUAGGUGGGUUUGUAAGUCAGAUGUGAAAGCCUUCUGUUCAACGGAAGAAUUGCACCUGAAACUGCGAGUCUUGAGUGUAGGAGGGGAGAAUGGAACUUCUGGUGGAGCGGUGAAAUGCGUAAAUAUCACAAGGAACGCCGGCGGCGAAAGCGAUUCUCUGGCCUAUUACUGACACUCACUGUGCGAAAGCUAGGGGAGCAAACGGGAUUAGAUACCCCGGUAGUCCUAGCCGUAAACGAUGGGCACUAAAUAGAGGGGUUUUAA
rnacentral:rRNA from 1 species